rnacentral:rRNA from 1 species
AUACGGAGGGUGCAAGCGUUGUUCGGAAUUACUGGGCGUAAAGCGCGCGUAGGUGGUCUGUUAUGUCAGAUGUGAAAGUCCACGGCUCAACCGUGGAAGUGCAUUUGAAACUGGCAGACUUGAGUACUGGAGGGGGUAGUGGAAUUCCCGGUGUAGAGGUGAAAUUCGUAGAUAUCGGGAGGAAUACCGGUGGCGAAGGCGACUACCUGGCCAGAUACUGACACUGAGGUGCGAAAGCGUGGGGAGCGAACAGGAUUAGAUACCCGGGUAGUCC